UACGUAGGGUGCGAGCGUUGUCCGGAAUUACUGGGCGUAAAGGGCGCGUAGGCGGUGUGUCAAGUCAGGCGUGAAAGCCCCGGGCUCAACCUGGGAACCGCGCUUGAGACUGGCACGCUAGAGUUCGGGAGAGGAUGGUGGAAUUCCCAGUGUAGAGGUAGAAAUUCGUAGAUAUUGGGAAGAACACCGAUGGCGAAGGCAGCCAUCUGGACCGACACUGACGCUGAGGCGCGAAAGCGUGGGGAGCAAACAGG
rnacentral:rRNA from 1 species